UAUUGCACAAUGGAGGAAACUCUGAUGCAGUGACGCCGCGUGCAGGAAGAAGGUUUUCGGAUUGUAAACUGCUUUAGACAGGGAAGAAACAAGACAGUACCUGUAGAAUAAGCUCCGGCUAACUACGUGCCAGCAGCCGCGGUAAUACGUAUGGUGCAAGCGUUAUCCGGAUUUACUGGGUGUAAAGGGAGCGCAGGCGGCACGGCAAGCCUGAUGUGAAAGCCCGCGGCCCAACCGCGGGACUGCAUUGGGAACUACCGGGCUGGAGUGCCGGAGAGGUAGGCGGAAUUCCUAGUGUAGCGGUGAAAUGCGUAGAUAUUAGGAGGAACACCAGUGGCGAAGGCGGCCUACUGGGCGGUGACUGACGCUGAGGCUCGAAAGCGUGGGGAGCAAACAGG
rnacentral:rRNA from 1 species